rnacentral:rRNA from 1 species
UACGAAGGGGGCUAGCGUUGCUCGGAAUCACUGGGCGUAAAGCGCACGUAGGCGGAUUGUUAAGUCAGGGGUGAAAUCCUGGAGCUCAACUCCAGAACUGCCUUUGAUACUGAAGAUCUUGAGUCCGGGAGAGGUGAGUGGAACUGCGAGUGUAGAGGUGAAAUUCGUAGAUAUUCGCAAGAACACCAGUGGCGAAGGCGGCUCACUGGCCCGGUACUGACGCUGAGGCACGAAAGCGUGGGGAGCAAACAGG